rnacentral:rRNA from 1 species
UUAGUUAAUGUGCGAAAGCGCGAACUAGCAACGCCGCGUGUGCGAUGAAGGCCUUCGGGUCGUAAAGCACUUUUCUAAGGGAUGAGGAAGGACAGUACCUUAGGAAUAAGCAUCGGCUAACUACGUGCCAGCAGCCGCGGUAAAACGUAGGAUGCGAGCGUUAUCCGGAUUUACUGGGCGUAAAGCUCGUGUAGGCGGUUCGGUAAGUUGGAGGUGAAGGCUCCCGGCUUAACUGGGAAAGGUCGUUCAAUACGGCCGAGCUGGGGAAUGGUAGAGGGAGGUGGAAUUCCGGGUGUGGUGGUGAAAUGCGAAGAUAUUCGGAGGAACACCAGUGGAGAAAGCGGCCUCCUGGACGAUUUCUGACGCUAAGACGCGAAAGAUGGGGUAGCAA